UACGAAGGGGGCUAGCGUUGUUCGGAAUCACUGGGCGUAAAGCGCACGUAGGCGGAUCGAUAAGUCAGGGGUGAAAUCCCGAGGCUCAACCUCGGAACUGCCUUUGAUACUGUCGAUCUUGAGUCCGGGAGAGGUGAGUGGAACUCCGAGUGUAGAGGUGAAAUUCGUAGAUAUUCGGAAGAACACCAGUGGCGAAGGCGGCUCACUGGCCCGGUACUGACGCUGAGGUGCGAAAGCGUGGGGAGCAAACAGG
rnacentral:rRNA from 1 species